UAACCUGCCUCUUAGCGGGGGGUAACUAUUGGAAACGAUAGCUAAUACCGCAUAAAAGUCGACAUUGCAUGAUGUUGACUUGAAAGGUGCAAUUGCAUCACUAAGAGAUGGACCUGCGUUGUAUUAGCUAGUUGGUGAGGUAACGGCUCACCAAGGCGACGAUACAUAGCCGACCUGAGAGGGUGAUCGGCCACACUGGGACUGAGACACGGCCCAG
rnacentral:rRNA from 1 species